AAAAAGAAAUAAAAAUUAAUGGGAGUAAUAUUUUUAGAAGAAUACCCGAUCUAGUAUAAUAUUGUUACUGUGAUUUGUCACUUACACCUAUAUUAGAAAAUAAUCUAACCCACCCUAGCCAAACCCGACCGGACCAUCCGUUUGCCACCUUUACCGAUUCUCAAAAAUUUAGGAAGACGGAAAGGUUCUUCCUCACAAAAUCACAUUUCCCCACAUAAGACAAUCGUCGUUGGCCAACAAAAAAAAUCAGAUACAAACGAAGGAAAAGCAGGAAUCAAUCAACUAUACGAAAAAGGAACAACAAUAAUAGUAACAGAAAAAAAAAAAAAGAAAAAAAGCUAGCAAAUGGCAGAGAGCAAGGGAUUGUUGCCGGCAAAGUAUGACGAUAACGCAAAAUGGGACGCCUGCCUCGGUCUGACUGUCCGCGGCUUCGUUUAUUAAUCCUUGGUUGGCGCUUUUGGCGGCCUCCUUUUCUUCAGGAGUCCAGUGAUUUGAUGGGCAUCUGUAGCUUUUGGUGCUGGGAUUGGAAUUGGAUCUGCAAGCACAGAUUGUUCUCGUAUUUUUUAUGGAUAUCCUGCAAAGUUGGCUUCUCAACUUGAUGAUGCUCCUGCUCCCCUGGAUUGACAGGGGUGAGUUGAUGUUGUUGAAGUUCCUCUAAGUUAGACACGUUUGAAUUCAGAAUUUUCAUAUGUUGAUGGUGUUAGUCUUUUCCCCAGCAACGUCUUUUAAAUUUUUAGUACAAACAUUGUUGGUGGGUAAACAAUUAAAAUGAUGCACCAAAAAUUUGGUAUGACUCCUGUUGUCUUUUGCUCUGUAAUUCUAUCAUGAUUUAACACAAUUUGGAGAGAAAAAUGAAAAUAAUUCCCUCUGUUGUGGGCUUGAA